rnacentral:snRNA from 2 species
AUUGCUUCUUGGUCUUUUGGCUAAGAUCAAGUGUAGUAUCUGUUCCUAUCAGGUUAAUACAUAGUGCAAUAUUGGUUUCAGGAGUAGAAGCCAGUGAUUCAGGGAAACCUGGGUGGCUCAGGAGUUGAACAUCUGCCUUUGGCUCAAGUGGU